rnacentral:tRNA from 1 species
AAUUAUGUAGUUUAAUUAAAAUAAUACAUUUUCAUUGUAUAGUUAAAUAAUCCAUUUCAUAGUUA